UUAAAUAGUAAAUCAUUUACCAUUUGAAGUUGUUAACGAUACGUUUACCAAUAAGUAGUUAACAUAACUAUUUUCAUAGUUAGAGUAACUACUUGAAAUCCAAACAGCAUGAAUACUUUUUUACCAUUUCAAGUAGUAAAAUCAGCCAACCAAUCAGAAUCACUGAUUUUGUGAAUUAACCACUUGAAGUAGUAAGCUUCGACCAAUCAGAAUGCGCCCCCAGACAGCAGACGUCCAGCGUCGAUCGCCGCCAUUUUUAACCCGCUUCAAAAGCCAAACUUCGUUUUCGCUGAUCUUUGAAAUGGACGUGGAGGAAACGUUGGCAUCAUGGGGGAUGGGAGAACUGGUUAAAGUGUUCAAGGGUAAGAUAUAGCUUUUGUAGAUAUUCUUUUUUUCAUGUUUCCGACAGCACAAAAGACAUUUUUUUUGACAAUUUUGUAAAGGCCUAAGGCAAAAAAGAAAACGCGCACCAUUCGAAACCUGUUUUUAGUUCUCUUUUUUCUUCAGUUCUCACGACGCAUGCACAAAACAUUUUUAUCACCAGUUCGAUAGGCCUGUAGGCUACUCUAUUAAUGAAGAAUGCACUAAACUGGAAAAAGAAGAAGUUUGUAGGCGAUGUGAUAAGUAAAAGACAACUUAAAAAGGCCCGCGAAAGUGCGCGCCCGUCAGCGCUCUUGUGAUAAUGCGAUGCGCGCCAUGAAGCAAAGUGUCGCACUCUCGAUUUAAGAACAGUUUCAAACAGUUUUAUUCGAUUUUAGUGCUAAAUUUUAUAUGAACAUUAUUGAAAAUUUGUUCCGAAGUAUUAGUAGAGCAUUCGCGCAUUACAUGCAUUUAAUGAGAUACUCGUUAGUUUGAAUAUUCCCGCCGAAAAAGUUGACGCAAGUGUGAAGUAUUUCCGAGAGGGUGCACUCGGAUCGAGCUCAAAAUCGAUGGCGGAAGUCGCCGGGACUGUUGACGUUUUAUACUGAUCUAAAAUGCGAUCGAUUUCGACCUCAUUCUGCCAAAUGUUCCUUUUCCAAAUACUUGCGAGCAGAAAUUGUUGUCUCAUUAUAGCAGAGUGUCAAAUUCACGCAUAUUGCGUGAAAUGUCUUGCUGAAAAAUGCUUCGGACACAGACGCUUCAUUCAGAACAGAUGAUGAUUCAUUCAUUCAUGAUUUGCAUGCACUGACCCACCACAUACAGUGUAUAGUCUACAAUACAUGUACAUAUGUACAUGUAGGGCCUAGCAUGCUAGGCCCUACAUGCAAUGUACAUUAUAGCCCUGUUAGUGGUGCAGCCUGGCCACCAUAGGCCUAAAGGCUUUGAAAUGUCCACACUGAAUUCAGUCGAAAUCCACUGCCGAGACCAGAAGGCCUACUGGUCUGACUGGUCACUCGUCGUGAGACUGUUCAUUCAAUCUGGACGUUUUGAUCUGGCAUUCUGGAUGGGUCAUUGUCUGAAUUGUCUGCAGUCUUAUUGAUAGUUGUAAGUUUUGCAGUGCAGUUUGCCUGAGACAUAUAAUCAUCCAGGACCGCCAGGUCCAGUCAGUGUUCAGUAGUGUAGCUUAUUUAAUUUUAUGUAUUUGGAAAGAGAAGUUCGUUCUGUGGAUGCUUUCUUGGAUCCUUCCUGUCCUCUACUAAUUACUAAAUGUCUUUAUGAUUAUCUACCAACUCUGUAUUUUUAACUGGUUAUUAUCGAAUGAAAUGGCCAGGUCGAAAUUGAGUACUCUUGUAGAUUACAGUGAAUAACAGUACCUGGUAUAUCAUCGAAUUGAUAUAUCGGAUCUCAGUAGGGUCUCCCCAUGAUCCUUUCCUUUUGCAACACAAUGCUUGCCUGCAUUAACAAGAGUGGUAGGCCUAGAUAGAUGGAAAUUCUAUAAUGCUUAGGGUUAGGGUUAGGGUUAAUUCUAUAAUUUUGACGAAAGUAGGGGGGGUCAUAAUUGGUAGUAUUGAUAGUAUUGAAAAGUCUCACAACAGGAUGUACCAAGAUUAAUGGCUAGCGAUAGUGCGCAGCAGUGGUUGUUGAAUGAUUGUGGGUUGAUGAAUCUUUUUGUUCCAAAAUUUGUUUUAUUGAUUCUAAAUUGGCUGCUAGUGCUACAAUAAAAUUUGCACAGGAUGUUGAAAAUACUCCAAAAACUGCAAACCAUUCCAUUACAUGUAGGCCGCUGAGAAGGGGUGGUGCUUUUGGACUACAACGUUUUUUGUGUCCAUUUUGUGGGAGGUGAUGGUGACCUAGGUUUUUUUUCUUUUUUUUGCAGAAUUGAAUCCUGAUCAAACCAAGAAUUACUCUAUGGAAGCAUGUCAGUAUUGACUGGCUGGCCUGUUGUCAUUAAUUACUAGUACUUAGUAUACGUAAUACCACCAGAUUAAGCUAUAGCAACCUUCAUUUUUGCAUGAUUUUCAUGUCAUUUAGGACUACAUCUAUUUUCAGAUGAAGGCAUUGAUGAGGAGGCAUUCUGUAUGUUGGACAAUGAAAUAAUAAAGGAGCUGAUUCCAAAAAUUGGUACCAGAAUGAAGUUUGCAAGGAAGUACCGCAAUCUACUACUAUGUAAUAGUCAUGAUAGUAGUCUUGGGUGGAACAGAGUGUAGUUGCAAUGCAACUUCUACCGAUCAUGCUGCCCCCCAGGCCAACAAAAGGUCAUAGACCAUCCGUGACUGAGGCAAUGUCAUCGUUCAUACAGUUCAAGCAGGUGACAACAAAUAUCCCCUCAUUCCUUCAGGACCUCCCAAGUGGAGCUGUGCAGCCCUUCGUGUUGGCUCUUGGGGAUAGAACCUCUCCAACGCAGGCAUUUCUUAUAAUUGAGAAGAACGCUUUAGAAUAUCCAACACUGCUGAAGGCCGUUGAGGCCUGUUUUAGGCUUUGUAUGUUCUUGACAUAGAAUAUCCUACUGACUGUGUGACAUUCUCAUUAGUGUAACUGUGCAACCUUAAUGUUGGCUUUUGGUGAUAGAACCUCUCCAACUCAGGCAUUUCUUAUCAUUGAGGUGAACGCUUUAGAAUAUCUGACACUGCUGAAAGCUGUUGAGGCCUGUUUUAGGCUUUGUAUGUUCUUGACAUAGAAUAUCCUACUGACUGCCUUAUUGUGUGACAUUCUCAUGAGUGUAACUGUGCAGCCUUAAUGUUGGCUCUUGGUGAUAGAACCUCUCCAACUCAGGCAUUUCUUAUCAUUGAGGUGAACGCUUUAGAAUAUCUGACACUGCUGAAGGCCAUUGAGGCCUGUUUUUUAGGCUUUGUAUGUUCCUGACUUAGAAUAUCCUACUGGACUGCAUUAUUGUGUGGCAAUUCAUUGAGGACUUUGGUGAUCUCUGAUGAAUUUCUGUUGUAAAUACAUGUAGAUGUUAAUCAGACUAAAUCUGCUAGAGUAUAAAGAGGAAGAUCCUUUGAUAUUUGCAAAGGUCUGGGCAUUUAUAGUGUGAGGAUACAUGUAUCUUGGGAUUACUGUAUAGGGGCAAUGUAUCAAGGGGUUAUUCUCCUGAAACAGUUUUACUGUUUUCAAAUUGAAUGAAUGUGAGUAAUGAAUUGUUAACUUAAUUGAUAGAUUUCUGCUUAGAUGCAAUUUGAAUGUCAUGAAUUGAAAACUAUAGUUAAUGAUAAAUUUAUGUUGCAAAUACAUGUAGAUGUAAUCAGACCAAAUCUGCUGAUUUCUACUUUAGAUUCAAUUUGAAUGUAUGAAUUGAAAAAUAUAGUUAGUGAUAAAUUUCUGUUGUAAAUACAUGUAGAUGUUAAUCAGACUAAAUCUGCUAGAGUAUAAAGAGGAAGAUCCUAUGAUAUUUGCAAAGGUCUGGCCAUUUAUAGUGUGAGGAUAUCUUGGGAUUACUGUAUAGGGGGCAAUGUAUCAAGGGGUUAUUGUCCUGAAAACGUUUUACUGCUUUCAAAUUGAAUGAAUGUGAGUAAUGAAUUGUUAACUUAAUUGAUAGAUUUCUACUUUAAAUGCCAGUCACAAAUUUGAAUGUAAUGAGUUGAAAA